rnacentral:tRNA from 1 species
GCUUCGUUAGCGAAGUAGGUAGCGCGUCAGUCUCAUAAGCUGAAGGUCGCGAGAUCGAUCCUCACACGGGGCA